rnacentral:rRNA from 1 species
CCUACGGGUGGCUGCAGUGGGGAAUAUUGCACAAUGGGGGAAACCCUGAUGCAGCGACGCCGCGUGAGUGAAGAAGGAUUUCGGUAGGUAAAGCUCUGUCAGCAGGGAAGAAAAGGACGGUACCUGACCAAGAAGCCCCGGCUAACUACGUGCCAGCAGCCGCGGUAAUACGUAGGGGGCAAGCGUUAUCCGGAUUUACUGGGUGUCAAGGGAGCGUAGACGGCAGGGCAAGUCUGGAGUGACAGGCGGGGGCUCAACCCCCGGACUGCUCUGGAAACUGCCAGGCUGGAGGGCAUGAGAGGUUAGUGGAAUUCCUCGUGUCGCGGUUAACUUCGUAGAUCUUAGGAGGAACACCGGUGGCGACGGCGGCUUACUGGACUGUAACUGCCGUUGAGGCUCGAAAGCGUGGGGAGCACAC